AACCGCAAUGAAGUCAACGUCGAUGAAAUUUUUGUGUAUAGUGCCACACUAAAAUAUGAUAGUUGAAAAUGAGGAUCAUGAUCCAAAAUGUAUGCAAAGAAAGAAAUGAUUGGCUGAAAAAUUUCAAUUUGAGGCAAAAUCAAAUUCCCCAAAGAAAUGAAAAGUUUUAAGACAUCAAGUCUUUAUACAUUGAGAUGUAAAGUAUGAGUAUGAGAAG
rnacentral:lncRNA from 1 species